AACCCUAUUAUUUUCUCUACCCUUAUUCUUCACUCUUCCGCACCGCUUUUGGUCCUUCUUUCACAGAAAGAGUCACCACUGGGUUUGGCCACAGAAUCCGCUCACCCAGCCAUAAUUUUUAGGUCAAGAGCGAGGAGUGCUGACUUCGUCUUGCUUUGCUUCAUU